GCCCCUGUAGCUCAGAUGGAUAGAGCAUCGGUUUCCUAAACCGAUUGUCGGAGGUUCGACUCCUCUCAGGGGUA
rnacentral:tRNA from 2 species